rnacentral:rRNA from 1 species
AAAGGAAUUGACGGGGGCCCGCACAAGCGGAGGAACAUGUGGUUUAAUUCGAUGAUACGCGAGGAACCUUACCCGGGCUUGAAAUGCGGACGACCGGCGGUGAGACCCGCCUUCCUUUCGGGGCGUCCGCGUAGGUGCUGCAUGGUUGUCGUCAGCUCGUGCCGUGAGGUGUCGGCUUAAGUGCCAUAACGAGCGCAACCCUCAUCGUUAGUUGCCAUCAGGUUAUGCUGGGGACUCUAGCGAGACUGCCAUCGUAAGGUGCGAGGAAGGUGGGGAUGACGUCAAAUCAGCACGGCCCUUAUGUCCGGGGCGACACACGUGUUACAAUGGGCGGUACAAAGGGUCGCCACCCGGUGACGGGGCGCCAAUCCCGAAAACCGCUCUCAGUUCGGAUCGGAGUCUGCAACUCGACUUCGUGAAGCUGGAUUCGCUAGUAAUCGCGCAUCAGCCACGGCGCGGUGAAUACGUUCCCGGGCCUUGUACACACCGCCCGU